UGGACAGCAUCAGCGCCACGAGCUUCAAAUUGGUGGAUGCUGGUUAUGUUGCAAGGCGCCAUUGGUGGAUACGGGAAUACUGGAAGUCUGAAGCAAAUAUUUGACCACGAAAAUGGAAACUUUAACUCAAAUCCAUAACAGACCAUUCAUUAAUCAAGCUAUUUUUUUUCAACUUGAAUUCAGCCUACCACCAAUUGUUGAAUUGACAGGAAUGGACGCUCGAGAUUGAAUUUCAGCAAACCACAUUGGAAAGGAGUGGUUAACGUCACCUCUUCGAAGAAACCUGGUGUAAACUUCACGAUACGCAGAGAAAGUUAUUUGGGAUAUCUGGUGGGAUAUAACGUAGUACUGUGGACAUGGCGGAUGCUGCUGAGUGCGGUGUGAAAGUGAUGUUCCGAUUCAGGCCCUUCAACCAACAGAGGAGACAAAUACAUUCCGAUAUUCAAGGGCGAAGAUACGGUGGUAAUAACGAGUAAGCAUUGUGUUUGACCGAGUCCUGCCACCCAACACAACCCAGGAGCAAGUCUACGAUGCCUGUGCCAAGCAGAUCGUCAAAGAUGGAACAAUCUUUGCCUAUGGCCAGACCUCAUCAGGAAAGAUCCACACCAUGGAGCCUGGAGUUGGCAUACUAGCAUCGUCAGACUUCAUGAAUGGCAACAGCCGGACCGAUGUUAGCAGAGCUGCACUGCAAGCCGAGACAUCAGAAACACUUCAAACUAAGUUUGGUAGUUAGUGGAGUUAGCAGGGAUUUUUUUUUUAACAAAUAAUAAAGGAAAUAAUUCCUGGAACUUAGUUCCUCAGCACUGAAACUAUUACCUCACGUAGCAACAGCACAGGGCAUCUGUAUGUGUCUUCCAUUGAUGAUGUCCUCCUGGGGCAAGGCACUUAGAGACAGAUUGCUUUCCGGAUAAACAUAGGAACCCGUAAACCAUAGGAAGUAUCAGAGCAUUUAAAAUGUUUCAUUGCAAAAUGACAACAUUCUCGCGUGGAAGAAAACCUGGACAGGUUCUUUGUGAGUAUUGACUCUACCAAACUUAGUUUGAAGCGUUUUUGCAGAAGUUUUGUCUUGCAGUGCAGGUUUGCGAACAUCGGUUCGGCUGUUUCCAUUCAUUAAAUAAAGUACAUCAUGGAUUUGUGUGGAUUCUGUCACCAUGGGCCUUCAGACACA